ACCACAACAAAAAAGAUCAAUUUUUAGGUAACAAAACUAGUAGUUCUCAUUCAUCCUCAUCCUUGAUAAUAAGAUUUAUACAUAUAUGUUCACUUGGAAUUACGCGUCAGUCCCUUUAAAUUUUCCCGCGCGCUUUCUAAAGAAUGUGAAUAUAUAAUGUUUGAACAGCUGAGCCUAGGGGUCAACUCUACUGUUUCUAGUGGACAUUCAUACAAUAUCAUAUACACAGAGUAGAAUGUUCGAGAGGUUGGGUGAGAUUAUUGAGAACAAGGAGAGAUAUCUCUCCGACAAAGACCUUCCGGAGGUGUUUCUCUGGUUUCCAAUAGACAAAAACUACAUUG